rnacentral:lncRNA from 1 species
AACUUGGCUGCCUGGCUUACUGAAUGGGGAUGCUUGGUGUGGUGUGGUGGUUGUUCUUGCCAGGACAAUAGCUGACUGACAAAAUCAGGCUCAGGCCUUUCUGACUUGAGAGAGGCCUGUGUGGAGGUGAGGGGAAGUAGCCAAGAGGUUGCUGAGAUAGCAACUUGCUUAGGAUACUCGUGCAAUGAGGGCAGAGCUUGUAAAGGUCUGGGGUCCGGUUUUGGACAAAGAUUCAGGGGAAAUUUCUUAGGUUUGGUAUGGAAGGUUUGGAAGAUAAGGUAGAUAGCCUUAUUUAGGAUGGGGUUUUAUGGGUAGGCUCUGGAAGUUGGCUUGGAGAGAGGUGGAGGAGGAGUCAGACACCCAACUCGGAGCCCCUGUGAGGAUACCCACAAUGAUAAAUCUACUUUCUCUGGGCCAGGAGGCAAGCAUGAACACAUACUUAAGGCUGUGUUCCAGGACAGCAUGAAGCAAAAGAUGAGAAGAAUGCCUGGGAAACAGACAUGGGAAGACCAGGGAAUACAGUUCUGUUUUGAAUUGGUUUAAAUAGGGACCAAAUGAUGCUGUGGUGGUUCCUCUAAUUUGUAGCAGUCAACAAUUCCAGUUCUCUUGAUAUAAAACUUGUAUUUUAUUUGUUUUCUUACCCCACUUGUUGGUUCAUUCAUUAACUAGCUUUAUGUAGGUCCAGUGCUGGACUCAGCUGAGUUGGGUAAAUCAGACUUGCUGCCUGCCCUUAUGAAAACCAUGAUCUGCUACCAACCUGUGGGCCAGGAAGUCAUGCACCUGCCUCUGGAUCCCUCUGGUACCUGUGAAAUCUAGAUCCCCAGGCCUGCUCUCUGGAAAUAUAAAUCUGGUAGGUGGGAGAGGUGUGAAACAUUUUUAGAAAAUCUUUAGAUGGUUAUUUUUAUAAUCUCUAAAUUUGGGCACGAUGCUUUGGAAAGGGAUAAAACCCUAUGGACUGAACAUAAAUUCGAAGUGGAAAUUAGAAAGGACUUUGGGUUGAUCUAGAAUGGAAAUCUUUACCUGAAAUCUUGUGAAAUGUGUCUAAGGCUAUGUGGCAGGACAAUUUUGUAGCUUUAAAUUUACACACACACACACACACACACACACACACACACACACAAAAGGAAGAGUCGGAUUUCUGUCUAAAGUUGGAAAAAGAGGACACAUUAGACUUAAAGGAAGGUGUAAAUAGUAGAAUUGAUAGUAGAGAGCAAUGGGAUAGAAAAUAGAGAGAAGAUAUAGCAGAGAAGAUCCACAAAGUUGAAGAAGGCUCUUUGACAGAUCCUUGAGACAUCAUGAUUCUGGAAAUAAGAAAGCAUGUCAAAAGGAUAAGGAGCAGAGAGGGCAUGACACUACUGAACAUUAAGUUAGAUGAGAAGCUAUUAGAAUUAUAAUUUUAUGCUUGCAAUUUUGAACAAUUUGAUACAAUGGAAAUUUGCUAAAAGUCACAGAAAAUAACAGAAUAUCUGAGCAAUCUUAUAAUUUUUAAACAAACUGAAUUUAUGCCUUUAAAAGCUUUAGAGAGAGAGAGGUCUCCAGGAGAUACUGCAAGCGUGAAAACCUGAGUUCAAAUCUGUAGCAACCAUGUAAAAGCCUGGCAUGACUCUGCCUGCCUGUAACCCCAUCAUUGGUGGGCAAGGGCAAACAGAUCCAUAGAACUUGCAGGCUACCCAGCCUAGCCAAAACACAGUGAGCUUCCAGUACAGUGGGGGACUCUUUUUUAAGGCAUUUCUUUUUGUAGAGGGCAAUAAGGAAAAACAUCUGGCAUUCUGUUCUGGCUUCUGUUUGCAUGUACAUACCUACACGCUCCCCAGACCCAGACACUGUCCAAUAGUCAAUUCUGCAAAAAAUAUUCAGAGAAAACCCUCCACUAAUUUUCUAACUUUUACAAAUUCUUUAAGGGAGUAAAGAAAAAUUAUGAUUGUUCAACAGGCGCAAAAGAAAAGUACCCAAACAAACAAACAAAAAACUCAUAGCAAACUUAAGUUUUCUAAGAAUUAAAAGAAGUUUAUUAAAAUACUGUACUUUCAAACAUCAUACCUAAUGGGGAGAUAUUGAAUGCUUCCUGUGCUGGGUAGCUGCUGUCAACUUGAUGCAAACUGAGUUACCUGCAAAGAGGGAACUUCAGUUAAAGAAUUGUCUCUAGCACAUUGGUCUGAGGAAAUGUUUGUGGGACAUUUUCUUGAUUAAUGAUUGAUCUGAAAGGGCCCAGACCACUUUGGGCAGUGCUACUUCUGGGCAGGUGGUCCUGGUUUGUAUUAGAAAGCAAGUUGAGCAAGCCAUGGCAAGCAGGCUAGGAAGUGGCAUUCCUCUAUGUUCCUAACCUGACAUCCCUUGGUAAUGGACCUGGAAGCCUAAGACAAAAUAAUCUUGUUCUUUCUCAAGUUGCUCUUGGCCAGAGUUUAUUACAGCCACAGAAAAGCAAUGUAGGACACUUCCUAAGAUUGGGAACAAGACUAAUGUGUCGACUAUAAUCCCUUCUAUUCAAAUUGUACUGCAGGUCUUGGUCAGUG